CUCUCUCUCUCUCUCUCUCUCUCUCUCUGUCUCCCUCCUUCCCUUAACCCACCCACCACAGACUCUCUCUCCCCUCCUUAACCCACCCACACCCACUUCUCUCUUCCAUCCGUUUCUCUCUUUACCAAAUGGAUUACUUUGGUCUCACACAUAUAUAUUAAUCCUUAAUCCUCAGUCUUCACUUCGUGAAUUCGUCCCCUGAAUCGCGAUUCCACCCACAGUCCACACCACCUUGCCCGAAUCGAGCUCUCAGUCUUAGUCCUCACUCCUCCUCACUCCACAAGGUAAGAAUAUCAUGCAAUAAACUCAACCAAAGUUCAUGGAUAUUGUUUUAUUUUGAAUCUGGUUAGUGAUUUUGAAUAUGGGUUAUGAAUCAGAGCUUUUGAAAACGGUCUCUGAAUUAGGGAUUUUGGAUUAGGGUCUCUCUAUACCUCUCUCUCUCUCUCUCUCUCACUCCUCUCAUAUCUGGGUUUUUCCUUUGUUUUUUUUUUCUUUGAAAAACACCAACACCACCCAUGCAUCAUAUUUGAGUUCGUGUUUUUUCAUUUCGAGUUUAUAUCUUAUGAGAUCUGACAUGUAUAUUUUGUAUCUCGCCUUGUUGCUUAUGGAUUUGAGUUUUGAAAUUAUUUUACAUUUUUUUUUCAUACUUGCCCGUUGCAUGCAAUUUUGGAUAUGAAUAUGAUGGAUUUUUGGUUAUUUCAUACUGUGAGGUUUCUCGGUGACUGGUUUGGUCGACCCGAUCCAACUCAUAUUGGAGCAGUUUAGAGCCUUGUUCACUCUGUCUCUGCAACCUCAAAGGCCCUGGCCUUGUCACGCCCCCAUUGCCGGUGAGUCAGGUGACCAUGAGCUGAAUGUAUUAUCUCCAACCCAAAAAUUGCUUUUACAACCCGAAGUGAGGAAUUUGAAUCUUUGAGAUGGCAGAUCUGGAACUUGUAGAAUCAAAAUGAAGAUGAUAAUAUUUCUGCACCAAAUCUGAACCUUGAGCAAUUAGCCAUGUAAUCUUAUGCAGAGUGUGAUGAGUCUGAACAAUGUAGUAAUGUAGAGUCAGUUGUUAUGGAGGGUGGACUUAUUUUUGAUGAGGAAUAUUUGUAUACUUUCCUCAUCCAUUGUUGGUUGUUCUGGAGGGUGGAGUUGUUAUAUAAGAAUCAUCUUAAAGCAAGUGGUGGAAAGACCCUUGAAGCAAAUAAGAGUCCUCCCACAAAGCAAAGAUUUGAUGAGGUGCAAGGCCUGCUGGGAAGAUGCAUCUAUCCAAAAAUGUUUGCUUUCAAGUUUUUUUUUCUUCUUUGGGUAUUAGAGAGAAAAUAUGUAACACAACAAUAUAUGUUUGUGAGAUUCAUAAAGUGAAAGUUGGUUUCA